CAGGAUCCGCAAGCGCCAGGACUUGCGGCCGGCGGGGCCGCAAGUUGACGAGGUGGGGGAUCUCGGAGGAUUCGGCGGGUGACCCCCGGUUGCUCACGACCGUCAACGGCUCUACAAAGGCCGGGAGCGAUCCCGGAGACAAAGGGGCCAGGUGAGGCCGA
rfam:Symbiobacterium thermophilum isolate G2 contig01960, whole genome shotgun sequence.